AUACAGAGGGUGCGAGCGUUAAUCGGAUUUACUGGGCGUAAAGCGUGCGUAGGCGGCUUUUUAAGUCGGAUGUGAAAUCCCCGAGCUUAACUUGGGAAUUGCAUUCGAUACUGGGAAGCUAGAGUAUGGGAGAGGAUGGUAGAAUUCCAGGUGUAGCGGUGAAAUGCGUAGAGAUCUGGAGGAAUACCGAUGGCGAAGGCAGCCAUCUGGCCUAAUACUGACGCUGAGGUACGAAAGCAUGGGGAGCAAACAGGAUUAGAUACCCUGGUAGUCCAUGCCGUAAACGAUGUCUACUAGCCGUUGGGGCCUUUGAGGCUUUAGUGGCGCAGCUAACGCGAUAAGUAGACCGCCUGGGGAGUACGGUCGCAAGACUAAAACUCAAAUGAAUUGACGGGGGCCCGCACAAGCGGUGGAGCAUGUGGUUUAAUUCGAUGCAACGCGAAGAACCUUACCUGGCCUUGACAUACUAGAAACUUUCCAGAGAUGGAUUGGUGCCUUCGGGAAUCUAGAUACAGGUGCUGCAUGGCUGUCGUCAGCUCGUGUCGUGAGAUGUUGGGUUAAGUCCCGCAACGAGCGCAACCCUUUUCCUUACUUGCCAGCAUUUCGGAUGGGAACUUUAAGGAUACUGCCAGUGACAAACUGGAGGAAGGCGGGGACGACGUCAAGUCAUCAUGGCCCUUACGGCCAGGGCUACACACGUGCUACAAUGGUCGGUACAAAGGGUUGCUACACAGCGAUGUGAUGCUAAUCUCAAAAAGCCGAUCGUAGUCCGGAUUGGAGUCUGCAACUCGACUCCAUGAAGUCGGAAUCGCUAGUAAUCG
rnacentral:rRNA from 1 species